rnacentral:rRNA from 1 species
UACGUAGGGUGCGAGCGUUGUCCGAAGUUACUGGGCGUAAAGGGCUCGUAGGCGGCCAACUAAGUCAGACGUGAAAUCCCUCAGCUUAACUGGGGAACUGCGUCUGAUACUGGCGAGCUUGAGUGCAGGAGAGGAACGCGGAAUUCCAGGUGUAGCGGUGAAAUGCGUAGAUAUCUGGAGGAACACCGGUGGCGAAGGCGGCGUUCUGGACUGCAACUGACACUGAUGAACGAAAGCCAGGGGAGCAAACGGG